UACAGAGGGGGCUAGCGUUGUUCGGAAUCACUGGGUGUAAAGGGUGCGUAGGCGGUCAGUUAAGUCUGAUGUGAAAGCCCUCGGCUCAACUGGGGAAUGGCAUUGGAAACUAGCUGGCUGGAGUACCGGAGAGGGAAGCGGAAUUCCUGGUGUAGCGGUGAAAUGCGUAGAUAUCGCUUGGAACGCCGACGGUGAAAACAGGUUGCUGGGAAUGUGCCGACGCUGAGACACGAAAGCCAGGGGAGCAAACGGG
rnacentral:rRNA from 1 species